rnacentral:rRNA from 1 species
AACGAACGCUGGCGGCAUGCCUAACACAUGCAAGUCGAACGAGACCUUCGGGUCUAGUGGCGCACGGGUGUGUAACGCGUGGGAACCUGCCCUUAGGUUCGGAAUAACUCCCCGAAAGGGGUGCUAAUACCGGAUAAUGUCUUCGGACCAAAGAUUUAUCGCCUUUGGAUGGGCCCGCGUGGGAUUAGCUAGUUGGUAGGGUAAAAGCCUACCAAGGCGACGAUCCAUAGCUGGUCUGAGAGGAUGAUCAGCCACACUGGUACUGAGACACGGCCCAGACUCCUACGGGAGGCAGCAGUGGGGAAUAUUGGACAAUGGGCGAAAGCCUGAUCCAGCAAUGCCGCGUGAGUGAUGAAGGCCUUAGGGUUGUAAAGCUCUUUUACCCGGGAUGAUAAUGACAGUACCGGGAGAAUAAGCUCCGGCUAACUCCGUG